rnacentral:rRNA from 1 species
AAUCAACGCUGGCGGCGCGCUUAACACAUGCAAGUCGAACGAGAAAGGGGAGCAAUCCCUGAGUAAAGUGGCGUACGGGUGAGUAACACGUGGGUAAUCUGCCCUCAGGUGGGGAAUAACUCUGGGAAACCGGAGCUAAUACCGCAUAAGACCGGCCGGGUAACCAGUUGGUGAAAGGUUAAAGAUCGCCUGAGGAGGAGCCCGCGGCUGAUUAGCUGGUUGGUGAGGUAAAGGCUCACCAAGGCNGGGAUCGGUAGCCGGCCUGAGAGGGCACACGGCCACACUGGCACUGAAACACGGGCCAGACUCCUACGGGAGGCAGCAGUGGGGAAUCUUGCACAAUGGGGGCAACCCUGAUGCAGCGACGCCGCGUGAGCGAUGAA